rnacentral:lncRNA from 1 species
AGUCUAUGUACACACAGAAAAGUGUGAAGUUUUAGUCCCUCCUUGUCUCACAAUGAUAAAUACGUGAUGUUUUACAAAAGAUGAAUAAUAAAAAGAAGAAAUUCGCCAGCAAAACUGAAAGCGCAACAAAGAAAGUGAUAAACUAGAAGUAGAGGUAGAAUUGAACAUAAAUGGAGUUAUAAAAGAAAUAAAUGACCAUAAAAAUGUUGACACUGCUGUCAUUGGAGAAAUUCUAGAUAAGUAGCCAGAAGGAACUUAGUAAAAGUCUACUUAAUGGUGUAAAUAAGGAAAGUGGUUCUGACGAAAAGAAUGAAGAUGUCCUUGAGGAAGCGCUGCCAGGAAUAAACUCAGCAUUAAAAGAAUUCUCAGAGACAUUUUACAGCAUUGAAAGUGCAAAGGGUAAAAUAAUGUAAACGGAUCCAAACUUAAGAAGGAAUAUGACAAGUUGCCAAGAUAUAGAAGUGAAGCUUGCUUCCUAUCAUAAGAUAUACCAUGAGAAGAAGAGCCAGACCUUGAUUUCAUGCGAGAAGGUGGAGUAGGAGGAAGAGAAGGAGGAGAGUUAGAAGGAGUAGGAGGAGGAGGAAAACCUCCUGCAGGCUCGUCUGAGUAUAUUCCUAGGUGAUGGCAGAGGGGCAAGAAAGCAAGCAAAAAGAAGCACAGAAGCCCUCUCAUGGCCAAAACUGGCUUGGUGUCACUUUUACCUCAUUCUAUUGGUCAAAAAAAGUCAACAGGCUGAGCCCAGAGUCAGAGUGGGAGAGUACUGCAUGGUUACAUGACAGAGGAUGUGGAUAUGAGGAAUCGUGAAGAACUGCAUCCAUUAGAGCCAUCUGUCACAGAAGGGACUAUUGUCAUUUUACUAAUUUUGUACAUGAGGAUAGGGAAGCAUGGAGAUGGUAACAUGCCUAAAGUCACAUAGCUUCUUAGCUGUGGAACCAGAAAGUAAACCUGGGCCUUCUGGGCCCAGGGCCCGUGGCUGUUAAAACCACUGUGCACACUGCCUUACUCCUACCCUUCACAAUCAGGUUUCUGCUCUGACCACCCUAGAAAACAUGCCCGUCUCAGGUUACCGAUGCUCUCCUAUGGACAGAUCCAAUAGCCUUUGUUAAUUGUCCACAUCUCUAUCCAUUCUGUAAUACUCCUGCAUGCUGCAUCCUUGGAGUUCUUUUCUCCUUUGAUUCUGCAGAACCUGUACUGUUUUGUUUCUCUUUCUGGCUUCCUCUGUCUGUCUCUCUUCACCAACUACAUAAUGCAUUCACUUCUUUUUCUUGGCAUCUCCCUUUCCAAGCACACCCACUCUCCUGGUUUCCAUUAUCUCCCUGCAGACAACUCUCAACUGGCUCUAAGAAAGCUCACUAUAAUUUUCAGCAACCUAAUUCAGUCGUUUGUCCGUCACAAAUAACAGCUCAGGAAAAUCAAAGGAUUUUCUCACUAGCAUCUUAUCAUUCCAUGUCACCUAGCAACUAUCCCAGUGCUUGAUAUUCUGCUACUAGAAACUCCCUACUACACAGAUAAUACCACUGGAAGGUAUAAAGCCACUUGACUGACCUCUCUCCAUUCACAGCAUUUAUAACUGUAAGAAAUUGCCAGUGGUUGACUCUUUCCGACCUUCGAAAGUGGCAAUUUCAUGUGGUUCAGCUUAAUAGUAUUUAUUACCUUGUGCUGUAAUAAUUUUGUAUCUGUAUCUCCCAUGAGACUCAAAGCUGCUUGAUUGAGGAGAUCAUGCUUGCUUCUGCUUUUCAUCAAGUUGCCUAGUACAUGACACUCUGUAAGGAUUAGACCAAGUAGGUAUUGAAUAAUUGUUUGGCGAAUUUAAAAAAUUAAAGAAACAUUUGAAAUCAAUGCACCAGAGGCUAGAGACAGAGUGCUAGGAAGGGAACAGGAUGGGGACAGGGACACCAGAGCAAAGAUAGAGUCAAAGACACAUUUCCAAAAUGGCAAUUCAUGCCUUGUGUCAGUUGUACCCACCUCACAUUCUUUAACACUUAAGGUUUUUCUGGGUAGUAAGUGCAAUACAUUCUUAUUAUAAAACAAUAUAGACAGUUCAGUAUGUAUAAAUGAGGAUAAAAUCAAAAUCACCCACAAUCUCACCACUUUGUGAUAAUAACCAUUAACUUCAAUAUUGAUGAAUUUCCUUGAAUGUUUUAUCUACAAUAUUUCUUUCAUAUAGUUGAUAUCACUCUGUAUGCACAAACUUGUAUCCUUUUUCUAAAUCUUAAUAUCAUAAUAUUAGCAUUUUCUAAUGUUAGUAGAUGUACUUCUUAAAUAUUGCUUUUUAAUGAUAAAGGUUUUUUUUUUUUUUUUU